AUACAAUAUAAAGAUAUCUGUUUCUGCAGAACUUUUUUAAAAGCUGGCAAUAGUAAAGCCAGGCUGCGAGCCUUACGGACAUGGAAGUUGUUAAGGUCCCUGAAAAUGUCUAUAACA
rnacentral:snoRNA from 1 species